rnacentral:lncRNA from 1 species
GGAAAGCCCUGAGCAGGGGAGGCCUCAGCUUGACCUGCUGCAGUGCAGCCUUUGGGACUUCCCUCGCCUUCCACCUCCUGCUCAUCUGCUUCCCAAGCUGUCGCUAUGGUGUCGGUGCGCAGGCCGUGGCCUGCCCCUGCUCGUCCGCCUGGGGGCGCCGAGGCUCCCGGCGAAGACGCCUCCCAGAAGCUGAGCCGCUACUACGCCUCCGUUGCGCCACUAGCUCAACCUGGUCACCCGGCCGCGGCUCCGCCCCCAGGCUUGCCUCCCCAGAUCCGAUUCCUUUUCCUUCGCUCCUGGCGCCGACCCGUGGCGAGGACCCCCGAGGCCUCCUGGGAGAUCUUCCAACCACGCCCGUCUCAUUUGCAUACGCACUCCCGACCCCAGAAACCCGGAUUCCGCCUCCUGGCGGCGGCGUCUGAGGAGGGUGCGGGUGCGGGCUUUCAGCGUCUCGGCGCUCCAAACCCUGGGCUGCAGGGCUGUGUGUGGUCCUUCCCUGGUCCCAAAGUAAAGAGCGAAACCACAGAAACGAAUGUGUGCCUUUUUAUUUCCUUUCCUUUCUCCUUCGUGGAGGUGGCGUCCCUUGGAAGUGGAGGGUGGAGGCGUGGGGGCCAGAGGAGAGAAAACCGACUCGGACAGAGGCCCCCCGGA